GGCCUUGACAUACUAAGAACUUCCAGAGAUGGAUUGGUGCCUUCGGGAACUUAGAUACAGGUGCUGCAUGGCUGUCGUCAGCUCGUGUCGUGAGAUGUUGGGUUAAGUCCCGNAACGAGCGCAACCCUUUUCCUUAUUUGCCAGCGGGUCAUGCCGGGAACUUUAAGGAUACUGCCAGUGACAAACUGGAGGAAGGCGGGGACGACGUCAAGUCAUCAUGGCCCUUACGGCCAGGGCUACACACGUGCUACAAUGGUCGGUACAAAGGGUUGCUACCUCGCGAGAGGAUGCUAAUCUCAAAAAGCCGAUCGUAGUCCGGAUCGCAGUCUGCAACUCGACUGCGUGAAGUCGGAAUCGCUAGUAAUCGCGGAUCAGAAUGCCGCGGUGAAUACGUUCCCGGGCCUUGUACACACCGCCCGUCACACCAUGGGAGUUUGUUGCACCAGAAGUAGGUAGUCUAACCGCAAGGAGGACGCUUACCACGGUGUGGCCGAUGACUGGGGUGAAGUCGUAACAAGGUAAGCGUAGAUGA
rnacentral:rRNA from 1 species